CUCAGAUUAGAACGCUGGGCGGCAGGCCUAACACAUGCAAGUCGAGCGGGUUUCGGACCUAGCGGCGGACGGGUGAGUAAUGCGUAGGAAGCUACCCGAUAGAGGGGGAUACCAGUUGGAAACGACUGUUAAUACCGCAUAAUGUCUACGGACCAAAGUGUGGGACCUUCGGGCCACAUGCUAUCGGAUGCGCCUACGUGGGAUUAGCUAGUUGGUGGGGUAAUGGCUCACCAAGGCGACGAUCCCUAGCUGGUUUGAGAGGAUGAUCAGCCACACUGGAACUGAGACACGGUCCAGACUCCUACGGGAGGCAGCAGUGGGGAAUAUUGGACAAUGGGCGCAAGCCUGAUCCAGCCAUGCCGCGUGUGUGAAGAAGGCCUUCGGGUUGUAAAGCACUUUCAGCGAGGAGGAAGGGUUAGUAGUUAAUAGCUGCUAAUUUUGACGUUACUCGCAGAAGAAGCACCGGCUAACUCUGUG
rnacentral:rRNA from 1 species